AACGAACGCUGGCGGCAGGCUUAACACAUGCAAGUCGAACGCCCCGCAAGGGGAGUGGCAGACGGGUGAGUAACGCGUGGGAACAUACCCUUUUCUACGGAAUAGCCCUGGGAAACUGGAAUUAAUACCGUAUACGCCCUACGGGGGAAAGAUUUAUCGGGGAAGGAUUGGCCCGCGUUGGAUUAGCUAGUUGGUGGGGUAAAGGCCUACCAAGGCGACGAUCCAUAGCUGGUCUGAGAGGAUGACCAGCCACAUUGGGACUGAGACACGGCCCAAACUCCUACGGGAGGCAGCAGUGGGGAAUAUUGGACAAUGGGCGCAAGCCUGAUCCAGCCAUGCCGCGUGAGUGAUGAAGGCCUUAGGGUUGUAAAGCUCUUUCACCGAUGAAGAUAAUGACGGUAGUCGGAGAAGAAGCCCCGGCUAACUUCGUG
rnacentral:rRNA from 1 species